rnacentral:rRNA from 1 species
UCCAGACUCCUACGGGAGGCAGCAGUGAGGAAUAUUGGUCAAUGGGCGGAAGCCUGAACCAGCCAAGUCGCGUGAGGGAAGAAGGCCCUGCGGGUCGCAGACCUCUUUUGCCGGGGAGCAAGCCUGAGCACGUGUGCCCAGGCGGAGAGUACCCGGAGAAAAAGCAUCGGCUAACUCCAUGCCAGCAGCCGCGGUAAUACGGAGGAUGCGAGCGUUAUCCGGAUUUAUUGGGUUUAAAGGGUGCGCAGGCGGGCUGUUAAGCCGGCGGUAAAAAUUCAGGGCUCAACCCUGUCGAGCCGUCGGAACUGGCAGUCUUGAGUGGGCGAGAAGUAUGCGGAAUGCGUGGUGUAGCGGUGAAAUGCAUAGAUAUCACGCAGAACGCCGAUUGCGAAGGCAGCAUACCGGCGCCCAACUGACGCUGAGGCACGAAAGCGUGGGGAUCGAACAGGAUUAGAUACCCCGGUA